rnacentral:rRNA from 1 species
GAUUGAACGCUGGCGGCAGGCCUACCACAUGCAAGUCGAGCGGAUGAAGGGAGCCUGCUCCUGGAUUCAGCGGCGGACGGGUGAGUAAUGCCUAGGAAUCUGCCUGGUAGUGGGGGAUAACGUCCGGAAACGGGCGCUAAUACCGCAUACGUCCUGAGGGAGAAAGUGGGGGAUCUUCGGACCUCACGCUAUCAGAUGAGCCUAGGUCGGAUUAGCUAGUUGGUGGGGUAAAGGCCUACCAAGGCGACGAUCCGUAACUGGUCUGAGAGGAUGAUCAGUCACACUGGAACUGAGACACGGUCCAGACUCCUACGGGAGGCAGCAGUGGGGAAUAUUGGACAAUGGGCGAAAGCCUGAUCCAGCCAUGCCGCGUGUGUGAAGAAGGUCUUCGGAUUGUAAAGCACUUUAAGUUGGGAGGAAGGGCAGUAAGUUAAUACCUUGCUGUUUUGACGUUACCAACAGAAUAAGCACCGGCUAACUUCGUG